AGAGUUUGAUCCUGGCUCAGGAUGAACGCUAGCGGCAGGCUUAACACAUGCAAGUCGAGGGGUAUAGUUCUUCGGAAUUAGAGACCGGCGCACGGGUGCGUAACGCGUAUGCAAUCUACCUUUUACAGGGGGAUAGCCCAGAGAAAUUUGGAUUAAUACCCCAUAGUAUACUGAGUUGGCAUCAACAUAGUAUUAAAGUCACAACGGUAAAAGAUGAGCAUGCGUCCCAUUAGCUAGUUGGUAAGGUAACGGCUUACCAAGGCUACGAUGGGUAGGGGUCCUGAGAGGGAGAUCCCCCACACUGGUACUGAGACACGGACCAGACUCCUACGGGAGGCAGCAGUGAGGAAUAUUGGUCAAUGGGCGCAAGCCUGAACCAGCCAUGCCGCGUGCAGGAUGACGGUCCUAUGGAUUGUAAACUGCUUUUGUACGAGAAGAAACACUCCAACGUGUUGGAGCUUGACGGUAUCGUAAGAAUAAGGAUCGGCUAACUCCGUGCCAGCAGCCGCGGUAAU
rnacentral:rRNA from 1 species